rnacentral:rRNA from 1 species
AGACCCGAAACCCGGUGAUCUAGCCAUGGGCAGGUUGAAGGUUGGGUAACACUAACUGGAGGACCGAACCGACUAAUGUUGAAAAAUUAGCGGAUGACCUGUGGCUGGGGGUGAAAGGCCAAUCAAACCGGGAGAUAGCUGGUUCUCCCCGAAAGCUAUUUAGGUAGCGCCUCGUGAAUUCAUCUCCGGGGGUAGAGCACUGUUUCGGCUAGGGGGCCAUCCCGGCUUACCAACCCGAUGCAAACUGCGAAUACCGGAGAAUGUUAUCACGGGAGACACACGGCGGGUGCUAACGUCCGUCGUGAAGAGGGAAACAACCCAGACCGCCAGCUAAGGUCCCAAAGUCAUGGUUAAGUGGGAAACGAUGUGGGAAGGCCCAGACAGCCAGGAUGUUGGCUUAGAAGCAGCCAUCAUUUAAAGAAAGCGUAAUAGCUCACUGGUCGAGUCGGCCUGCGCGGAAGAUGUAACGGGGCUAAACCAUGCACCGAAGCUGCGGCAGCGACGCUGAUGCGUUGUUGGGUAGGGGAGCGUUCUGUAAGCCUGCGAAGGUGGCCUGUGAGGGUUGCUGGAGGUAUCAGAAGUGCGAAUGCUGACAUAAGUAACGAUAAAGCGGGUGAAAAGCCCGCUCGCCGGAAGACCAAGGGUUCCUGUCCAACGUUAAUCGGGGCAGGGUGAGUCGACCCCUAAGGCGAGGCCGAAAGGCGUAGUCGAUGGGAAACGGGUUAAUAUUCCCGUACUUGGUGUUACUGCGAAGGGGGGACGGAGAAGGCUAUGUUGGCCGGGCGACGGUUGUCCCGGUUUAAGCGUGUAGGUGUGUGUUCCAGGUAAAUCCGGUUCACUUUAACACUGAGGCGUGACGACGAGGCACUACGGUGCUGAAGCAACAAAUGCCCUGCUUCCAGGAAAAGCCUCUAAGCAUCAGGUAACAUCAAAUCGUACCCCAAACCGACACAGGUGGUCAGGUAGAGAAUACCAAGGCGCUUGAGAGAACUCGGGUGAAGGAACUAGGCAAAAUGGUGCCGUAACUUCGGGAGAAGGCACGCUGACACGUAGGUGAAGUGAUUUACUCAUGGAGCUGAAGUCAGUCGAAGAUACCAGCUGGCUGCAACUGUUUAUUAAAAACACAGCACUGUGCAAACACGAAAGUGGACGUAUACGGUGUGACGCCUGCCCGGUGCCGGAAGGUUAAUUGAUGGGGUCAGCGCAAGCGAAGCUCCUGAUCGAAGCCCCGGUAAACGGCGGCCGUAACUAUAACGGUCCUAAGGUAGCGAAAUUCCUUGUCGGGUAAGUUCCGACCUGCACGAAUGGCGUAAUGAUGGCCAGGCUGUCUCCACCCGAGACUCAGUGAAAUUGAACUCGCUGUGAAGAUGCAGUGUACCCGCGGCAAGACGGAAAGACCCCGUGAACCUUUACUAUAGCUUGACACUGAACAUUGAGCCUUGAUGUGUAGGAUAGGUGGGAGGCUUUGAAGCGUGGACGCCAGUCUGCGUGGAGCCGACCUUGAAAUACCACCCUUUAAUGUUUGAUGUUCUAACGUGGACCCGU